rnacentral:lncRNA from 1 species
CCAGGAGCCUCCUCAUUGAGCGGGAUGCCCUGAAGCCCGGCUCUCCUUUGACUGAACGACUCAUCCGAAAGGCAUCAUCCUUGCAUCUCAUGGAGUAAAACCUUACUUGGGGGAACUGGCUUUCUUCCCCCUUCCCGAAGAGUCCCAGUCUCACAGAUGUCCAUUUGAAGGAAGCCACAAUGCCCAGCUGAACCAGAAGCCAAAUUCUAGCUCCUGGCCCCUAGAAAAGGAAAUCUCCACAGAGGUCACGAGCUCCUUCACCAUCCUCCGCCUGCUACCACACUUCCAUUUAAGAAGGGACACUCACAUCUUCAGUGUCAGAGAACGGGUCUUCUCCUUUGUGAAUUAUCUGCUGUGAUUUGUAAGCACCCAGCCCCAUCUUGUCUAGAGAAGGGUGGCCUCUGGGCUCCAGGAGAGUCUGCAUCAUCCUGGGAGGCCCCAUUCUGGCAUCUUCAGGUUAGGCCCAUGGUGACCAGAGGAGAAGACAGGCUCAAGGUCCUCCUGUCUGGCAUCAAAAUAGCCCCUCCAUCAUUAGGGCAGCCUGACCAGUGUGGGACUGUCUCCUAUGCUUUGAUGCAGGCUUUUUUUUUUUAAAUCAACUUUUCCAGGGAAAUCAAUAUCAACUUGAUCUUGAGCACAUCCCAGACUGCUCUAAGGCUCCCUUUCCUUCUCAGUAAAAUGAGGCUUGUCACCCUCCUGCCACCUUCUCCCUUGUGGGGUUAGCUGUGGAGUUGUGAUGAGGCUGGUGCUUUGUCAUCCCCCUAUGGAAAUGAUGAGCACACUGGAGUUCCAGCCGACUUCAUGGGUGCUCACCUCUCAACAAUCAGAUCAGUCAAGCUUUCAGCUUUCCAAGGUCCCAUUUGUGUGCAGGCCAUGAUGCUUUGGGAGAAAAUCCUUUUCAGUAUCUCUUCUCUGAUCAUCAAGAAAUACAGGGUCAGUAAAUACGAGGUCAUGGAAUUGGGGGGAUACCAAAAAUUCAGGGCCCCCAGAAAGUUUCACAUGGAGUAUUUGAGCAGGGAUCAGAAAGAAACGAGAUUUUAAGAAGCAGAGGUCAGGAGGGAUGGCCCAGAGUGGGAGAUGAAUUAUUGGGUGAGGAUCUACAGAAAAGCCAGUUAGACUGGAUUGUGUGAAGGGAGUCAUGUAUACAAUAAUUCUGUAUAAAUGUAUAAGAAACUAAAGACGAUUGAAUGGAUCCUAGAUUGAAGGAGGAGGACAUUAGAGGCAGACAUUGCAAUAGUCCAGGUAGGAGGUGAUGGGGGCUAAACAGGGAUGGUGAUUCUAGGUGUGGAGAGAAAGUGAUGGGCAUGGGACAUUGUGGAAGCCGAAGCAGAAGUCCUGACAAGAGAAUCGCUAUGGGGGUGGAGGGUCUUGAAGAGUUAAGGAUGACACCAAAGUUGUUGACCUUUAUCACUGGGAUGACAGUGGUGAGGAGGAGAAGAAUUUUUUUUUUAAUUUCUUUUUUUUGAGGAAGAUAAUUCAGGGGUAGCACCAAUGAAGUCAAAGUCACAAAAGAUAAAAUUUUGGACAUAUUUUGCCUGUUUUGGACAUGUUGAGUUUGAGAUGCCCAGCUCAAAAUCCGUGACCUCUCAUCUCAUGAAAAAUUGCAUUAAAGAAUCUGAACUUGGGCCAAGUGGAGGUGGGGGGGUAUAAGGAAGUGGGUAGUUAUAGGGGAAGAAUAGGAUCCAUUUCUUUCAAAUAAACCAAACUGCAGUGCUGCUUUUAAAAAAAUGAAUGUAACAGAAUUUGAGGAAGAGGAAAACAACUUACCAAUUAUAACUUUAAAUGGACUAAACUCAACCACAAAAUGGAAGAGAGGCUAGAUGAUGAGACAGAACCCCAUAAUUUUCUGCAUAGAAGAAACUUAUUUGAAACAUAAACAUAUAGAGUUAAAUUGAAGGGCUGCAAUAAAUUUAUUAUGUUUUGAUUGAAUCAAAAGUGCAGGAGUUAAAACCAUGAUUUCAAGUAAGACUAAAUAGAUCAAAAUAGAUGCUCUCAAGAGAAACAAAAGGAAAACACAUUAUGCUUUAAAUAGAUUCAGAGACAGAAUUAAAGAACAAGCCACAGAGAUAAUUUUUAAAAGUAAAUUAAAGGGGAUUAGAAAAAUGAAACAACAUAGUAAAUAUAAAUCUAUGUGCAUAGAAUGGUGUAGCAUUUUAGUUCUUUGGGAAAACCCUAAAAUAUAAUGAUAUUUUGAUAGGAAGAAAAUGAUUUCAAAAUUCUCAGGACUUUCUAAGUUUAAAAAGAAAGAUAGAAAUCAUAUAACAUUGAAAUAUAGAAUAUAACAGUGAAAAAAAGAUAGUUUUGAUAUGAUUCUGGUAAUUAUUGAAUGGUUAUAUUAAAGAGCAUACUUAUGCCAUACCUAUGAAAACAGUGAAUGCUUGGGCAUAAAUAACUCAUAAUUAUGUGUAAAAUGGAGAAAUAUUAAGAGCUUUCUUAAUAGACAUGCAAUAAAAAUAGUCACCAGGGAAGGGAAUAUGAAUAAAAGAUAUAUUCCUAAAUGGAGAUAAUUUUAUCCCAAUAUUCAAUAUGUGGAAUGAUAGAGCCUAGAAAGAAAAUUGUGGAGCUCAAUCCCAAUAAAGGAAAAACUGAUGUGAAAAUGUUCAGUAAAAAUAUGGCCCAGGACAUUAAAGCAAUCUAUAGAAAUAUUCAGUGACCAAUUUGAUAAUACUGGGGGCAAGAAUGAAUUGUUUCUGUAUUCUACUUUCACUUUAUACAAUUGACCUAAAAAAAUCUAUUUUAAAGCAAACAUACUUUUUGUCAAAGUGUAUUUCCACAAUGAUCAACUUGGAAAGUCUUGGUUCUUCUCAACAGUUCAGUGAUCCAAGGCAAUUUCAAUAAACUUUGGAUAGAAUAUGCCAUCUGCAUAUUGGAAAUUGAAUGUAAAUCAACGCGUGCUAUGUCCCAAUUUUUUUCUUGUAGUUUUUUUCCUUUCUGAUUUUUCUCUCUCAACAUGAUUCAUAAAGAAAUGUGUAUUUUUUAAAAAGUUAACAUACAUGUAGAUUAUAAAAACCCCCAAACCAAAGUGUACUUCCUAAGGCAUUAGGAACAUUACUAUCAUGAUAGACAGAGAAUAUCAAAGCCAGGAAGGACCUUACAAAUGAGGCCUAGAAAGCACACCCAACUCUUUCGUUUUAUGGAAGGGAAUUUUAUGGAGGGGUAGAGUUGGGGUCCCCAAAGGAAGGUAUAAGUGAAGCCCUGGGGCUGGAAACCUGGUUCUGUGAAGAGCUUUGAAAUUUUAAGAGGGGGGAAGACACAGGGUAACUCCAGACUAAGAUUAUAUGGCUUCUCUCUGGGCAACCACUCUCCUGACCUUGUAGGAGCCACGUAGGAUGGGAGAUGAUGGCAGUGGGAUGGGUCCUGAUGGCGAUAGAAUGGGUCCUGAUAGCGAUAGGAUGGGUCCUGAUGGUGAUAGGAUGGGUCCUGAUGGCAGUGGGAUGGGUCCUGAUGACAGUGGGAUGGAUCCUGAUGGUGAUAAGAUGGGUCCGGAUGGCAGUGGGAUGAGUUGAGCAGCAAUGGGGGUUCAAGUGACCACUGGGAUGAAAGGAAGAAAUGUAGAAAUGAGAAAGGGGGAGAUACAGAGAAAUCUGGGGAGAUGUGUGGGAACUAUCCCAGAGGAAGCUGAGCAGGACCAGGAGAGCCAUUUUUACUAAAAGCAAACAGACUGGAAAGACUUGACAUCCUCCCCUCAAUGUGAUUGCCAACGACCACCAUUCCAGGACAGAGGUCCAGCGUACCUACUCCCCCCCCAUACACACACCAUGGAAGGAUGAUGGACCCAGGAGGAAAAAGGAGAUGCAUCCUGGAGAGGUUGACCUCUGGAGGGCAGCAAUGAGCCACGUGGGAGCUGCCCAAGGCAUUAAUGGAGGGAUCCAGCUGCAGCCUUGACAUCCCUGGUCCAAGUGCUAAAGAACUGUGAGCCAGGCUGGAGGGCAAGGAGGGGUUUGAACCUAGACCCGGCAAGGAGAGGGCACUGCAGUCCCCCAGGCGGGCCAGCUGAGGGCCGUGUUCUAACAGGCAUGGGCUACACGGUCCUGAGUGGGCUCAGGAGUCUGGAAAGUUUCUGGCCACUACAGAGAGGCUGCCACAGACACACAGUAGGGACUUACAUGCGGACUGAGUUUCACCUUGUAAGCCUCUUGGGAGGAUCAGUUGAAAUCAUGAAGAUGAGAAUGACCAGCCUAUCUGACCAUAGAGGACCCUCAGUGCAACACGGGCACCUGCCCCCUCCCCCUCCCCCUGCUGAGCACCCCCUCCAGACUUCCCGAGAUGGAAGAAGCCCUCACUUACCCUGGUGUCCUGUGAUUGGGAAAAUCCGCAGCAGCAGGAGAGAGAGUCCUUUAGAAAAAGUUGUACCAUACUCAUAACAGUGGGCUCCCUCCUCCCCCAGAGAGAC